CAGCUCUCCGAGUGGUGGGGACGCUUAUUGGGCCUAAAGCAUCCGUAGCCGGCUGGGCAAGUCCUCCGUUAAAUCCAACGAUUCAAUCGUUGGGCUGCGGGGGAUACUGUCCAGCUUGGGGGCGGGAGAGGCCGACGGUAUUCCCGGGGUAGGGGUGAAAUCCUAUAAUCCCGGGAGGACCACCAGUGGCGAAGGCUGUCGGCUAGAACGCGCCCGACGGUGAGGGAUGAAAGCUGGGGGAGCGAACCGGAUUAGAUACCCGGGUAGUCCCAGCUGUAAACGAUGCAGACUAGGUGUUAGAACGGCCACGAGCCGUUCUAGUGCCGCAGGGAAGCCGUUAAGCCUGCCGCCUGGGGAGUACGGCCGCAAGGCUGAAACUUAAAGGAAUUGGCGGGGGAGCACCACAAGGGGUGAAGCUUGCGGUUUAAUUGGAGUCAACGCCGGAAACCUCACCGGGGGCGACAGCAGGGUGAAGGCCAGAUUGAAGGUCUUGCCAGACAAGCUGAGAGGAGGUGCAUGGCCGUCGCCAGUUCGUGCCGUGAGGUGUCCUGUUAAGUCAGGCAACGAUCGAGACCCGCAUCCCCUGUUGCUACCAGCCUUGAGCUGGGCACACUGGGGAGACCGCCGCCGAUAAGGCGGAGGAAGGAGCGGGCCACGGCAGGUCAGUAUGCCCCGAAUCCCCCGGGCCACACGCGAGCUGCAAUGGCAGGUACAAUGGGUUCCAACCCCGAAAGGGGAAGGUAAUCCCUAAAGCCUGCCGUAGUUGGGAUCGAGGGUUGAAACUCACCCUCGUGAACAUGGAAUCCCUAGUAAUCGCGCGUCACUAUCGCGCGGUGAAUACGUCCCUGCUCCUU
rnacentral:rRNA from 1 species